CUCCAGACUCCUACGGGAGGCAGUAGUGGGGAAUAUUGCACAAUGGGGGGAACCCUGAUGCAGCGACGCCGCGUGAAGGAAGAAGUAUCUCGGUAUGUAAACUUCUAUCAGCAGGGAAGAAAGAGGACGGUACCUGACUAAGAAGCCCCGACUAACUACGUGCCAGCAGCCGCGGUAAUACGUAGGGGGCAAGCGUUAUCCGGAUUUACUGGGUGUAAAGGGAGCGUAGACGGCGAUGCAAGUCUGAAGUGAAAGGCGGGGGCCCAACCCCCGGACUGCUUUGGAAACUGUAUAGCUGGAGUGCAGGAGAGGUAAGUGGAAUUCCUAGUGUAGCGGUGAAAUGCGUAGAUAUUAGGAGGAACACCAGUGGCGAAGGCGGCUUACUGGACUGUAACUGACGUUGAGGCUCGAAAGCGUGGGGAGCAAACAGGAUUAGAUACCCUAGUA
rnacentral:rRNA from 1 species